ensembl:snRNA U6atac minor spliceosomal RNA
CUGGUGGAACAACCAGGAGAGAAGGUUAGCACUCGCCUUGACAAGGAUGGAAGAGGCCUUUGUGGCCUUCAACACACAUAUGGUUAAGGCAUUGCCACCUACAUCGUGGCAUCUCUAACCAAGUUUUUGU